GACAGCAUGGAGGUCACAGCCCUCUGCAUCAGACUGUUGGUGACUAUGUUGACUCUGCCGUGUUCAUAUGCUCAGAAGCAUGAUGCAGCUCUCUGUAUCCAACCAAACAGGCUGCAGUUCUUUGAAUAUGAGACUGUACAUCUUCAUUGUGGGGGGUUUGGUGGUUCAACAGGAUGGAAAAUUGUACACAAGGUCAAAAAGGGAAUACCCAAAUGUGCUAAUACUAGCUCAUCCUGCAACAUUACAAAUGUUUAUC